rnacentral:lncRNA from 1 species
GAGCGAGGCCAGGGAUCAAAUCUGCGUCCUCAUGGAUACCAGUCAGAUUGGUUGCCACUGAGCCACGACAGGAACUCCAACCCUUGACCACUGGUGAAGGGAAAUCAGCAGAUAGAUGUUAACCCUUUUUGUCUACUGGAAAGCAUGUUUUAAGGCUCCUCCAUGACAGCUAACUCAGUAAUAUAUCCUUGGAUUGGUUUUCCCUCCUUCCCUGUUUCACCCCCUCCUGCUGAUAUUCCUGCCUCCUGGCCCCCAUUUUUUCGAAUAAACUACCUACAUGCAAACAUGUACCCAUAAAUAAAUAUACACAUAUAUUUCUUGCACUGAGCAAGGUAAUACAAAUAUACUUCUAAAUUUUCAUCUAGUUUCUCAAAUAUGUCUGUAGUUCUUUAAUCAAUCUGGUAUUUUACUUUUUAAAUUUUUUUUAAAUAUUAUUGGAGUAGAGUUGACUGGCAAUGUUGUAUUAGUUUCAGGUGUAUAGCAAAGUGAAUCAGUCAUACAUAUACAUAUAUCCAUUUUUUUUCCCAUAUAGGUUAUUACAAACUACUGGAUAGAUUUUACUGUGCUAUACAGUAGGUUCCCGUUAAUCAUCUAUUUUAUUAUUUUUUUCAUUUUUUUGUCUUUUUGCCUUUUCUAGGGCCGCUCCCGUGGCAUAUGGACGUUCCCAGGCUAGGGGUCGAAUCGGAGCUGUAGCCACCAGCCUACACCACAGCCACAGCAACGGGGGAUCGCAGCCACUUCUGCGACCUACACCACAGCUCACCGCAAGGCCAGAUCCUUAACCCACUGAGCAAGGCCGGGGGUUGAACCCGCAACCUCAUGGUUCCUAGUCAGAUUUGUUAACCACGGAGCCAUGACGGGAACUCCUAAUCAUCCAUUUUAUACAGCAGUGUGUACAUGUUCUUCCCACCCUCCCAGUUCUUCCCUCUCCCCCCAUGGUUUCUCCUAUAGUAACCAUAAGAUUGGUUUUGAAAUAUGUGUUUCCGUUUUAUGAUUAAGUUCUUUCAUAUCAUUUUUAUGACAUUCCACAUAUAAAUGAUAACCAUAUGAGAAAGACAAAUAUCAUUUUACUUUUAUACGAUGUGGAAGAGUCUAGCUCUGUUUCCAAUCCAUCCCGAUGGAAACUCAAUUGUGCCACCUUCAUUUACUAACCAUUCCUUUUCCACAUCCCUGAAACGACAUUUUUAUAAUUUUGCCUCACAGAAGCCUUUUGAAGCAAUGCAUGAAAUCUAGAAGAUGCUAAAGACUGUGAAAUUAGACCACAUUUUAAAAAAUUUAAGUGUCUGUUCUCCAAGAUACAUAAGCCUAGUCGAAUGACAAACCAUGAAAAAAUAUUUACAGCACACAUGACAGAGGUCUAAUUUACUUAUUAAGUUAACAUAAAGAGCUAGCAAUCCGCAAUCAAAGGAAUUCCAUACCCAAGAGAAAAAUGGGCAAACAACUUAGAACAAACAUUGAAAA